rnacentral:rRNA from 2 species
UUGACCUCAAAUCAGGUAGGACUACCCGCUGAACUUAAGCAUAUCAAUAAGCGGAGGAAAAGAAACUAACAAGGAUUCCCCUAGUAACUGCGAGUGAAGCGGGAAAAGCUCAAAUUUGAAAUCUGACGGUUCUUGACCGUCCGAGUUGUAAUCUAGAGAAGUGUUACCUGUGCUGGACCGUGUUCAAGUCUCCUGGAAUGGAGCAUCAUAGAGGGUGAGAAUCCCGUCUUUGACAYGGACUGCCUGUACGUYGUGGUGCGCUCUCAAAGAGUCGAGUUGUUUGGGAAUGCAGCUCAAAAUGGGUGGUAAAUGCCAUCUAAAGCUAAAUAUUGGCGAGAGACCGAUAGCGAACAAGUACCGUGAGGGAAAGAUGAAAAGAACUUUGGAAAGAGAGUUAAACAGUACGUGAAAUUGCUGAAAGGGAAACGCUUGAAGUCAGUCGUGUCGGCCAGAAAUCAGCCUUGCUUUUGCCUGGUGUACUUUCUGGUUCGGUGGGUCAGCAUCAAUUUUGGCCAUCGGACAAAGUCUUUGGGAAUGUGGCAUCCUUGGAUGUGUUAUAGCCCAUUGUCGCAUACGGUGGUUGGGAUUGAGGAAUUCAGCACGCCUCGCAAGGGGCCGGGUAUUUUUACCACGUUCGUGCUUAGGAUGCUGGCAUAAUGGCUUUAAUCGACCCGUC